GAUGAACGCUGGCGGCGUGCCUAACACAUGCAAGUCGAACGGACUUGUUCUUGUAGCAAUAUGAGGGCAAGUUAGUGGCGGACGGGUGAGUAAUGUGUGAGCAACCUGCCCUUCAGAGGGGGACAACAGCUGGAAACGGCUGCUAAUACCGCAUAAUGUAUCGAGAAGGCAUCUUCAUGAUACCAAAGAUUUUAUCGCUGAAGGAUGGGCUCACAUCUGAUUAGCUAGUUGGUAAGGUAAUGGCUUACCAAGGCUUCGAUCAGUAGCCGGACUGAGAGGUUGAACGGCCACAUUGGGACUGAGAUACGGCCCAGACUCCUACGGGAGGCAGCAGUGGGGAAUAUUGGGCAAUGGGCGCAAGCCUGACCCAGCAACGCCGCGUGAAGGAAGAAGGCUUUCGGGUUGUAAACUUCUUUUACCAGGGACGAAACAAAUGACGGUACCUGGAGAAUAAGCCACGGCUAACUACGUGCCAGCCGCCGCAGUAACAC
rnacentral:rRNA from 1 species